rnacentral:rRNA from 1 species
UUGACCUCAAAUCAGGUAGGACUACCCGCUGAACUUAAGCAUAUCAAUAAGCGGAGGAAAAGAAACUAACAAGGAUUCCCCUAGUAACUGCGAGUGAAGCGGGAAAAGCUCAAAUUUAAAAUCUGGCGGUCUUGCGGCCGUCCGAGUUGUAAUCUGGAGAAGCGUUUAUCCGCGUCGGACCGUGUACAAGUCUUCUGGAAGGGAGCGUCGUAGAGGGUGAGAAUCCCGUCUUUGACACGGACAACCGGUGCUUUUGUGAUGCGCUCUCGAAGAGUCGAGUUGUUUGGGAAUGCAGCUCAAAAUGGGUGGUAAAUUCCAUCUAAAGCUAAUAUUGCGAGAGACCGAUAGCGAACAGUACCGUGAGGAAAGAUGAAAAGCACUUUGGAGAA